AUAUAUCUCCGUACGGGAAGGAUGAGAAGCUUUGACUAAGGUUCGAUUCGAGCGCAGCGAGAAAGCGUUGCCGCAGGCAACGACCCGAAGGGUGAGGAGCGGAGCGACGAAUAAUCCUUCCCCCACCACCA
rnacentral:sRNA from 1 species